GAAUAAGAAGCGAAAAUAUUGCAUUCAGUUUCGACCUGAAAUAUUGGUUAAUGUACCCUUAUUCU
rnacentral:tRNA from 1 species